rnacentral:rRNA from 1 species
GAUGAACGCUGGCGGCGUGCCUAAUACAUGCAAGUCGAGCGAACAGACGAGGAGCUUGCUCCUCUGACGUUAGCGGCGGACGGGUGAGUAACACGUGGAUAACCUACCUAUAAGACUGGGAUAACUUCGGGAAACCGGAGCUAAUACCGGAUAAUAUAUUGAACCGCAUGGUUCAAUAGUGAAGGACGGUUUUGCUGUCACUUAUAGAUGGAUCCGCGCCGCAUUAGCUAGUUGGUAAGGUAACGGCUUACCAAGGCAACGAUGCGUAGCCGACCUGAGAGGGUGAUCGGCCACACUGGAACUGAGACACGGUCCAGACUCCUACGGGAGGCAGCAGUAGGGAAUCUUCCGCAAUGGGCGAAAGCCUGACGGAGCAACGCCGCGUGAGUGAUGAAGGUCUUCGGAUCAUAAAACUCUGUUAUUAGGGAAGAACAAAUGUGUAAGUAACUAUGCACGUCUUGACGGUACCUAAUCAGAAAGCCACGGCUAACUACGUG